rnacentral:lncRNA from 1 species
CAGGGAUACUGGAGUGAUGGAGGUAGAUAUGUAUAGGGGGAAGGGGACAGGGAUACUGGAGUGAUGGAGGUAGAUAUGUAUAGGAGACAGGGAUACUGGAGUGAUGGAGGUAGAUAUGUAUAGGGGGAAGGAGACAGGGAUACUGGAGUGAUGGAGGUAGAUAUGUAUAGGAGACAGGGAUACUGGAGUGAUGGAGGUAGAUAUGUAUAGGGGACAGGGAUACUGGAGUGAUGGAGGUAGAUAUGUAUAGGGGGAAGGGGACAGGGAUACUGGAGUGAUGGAGGUAGAUAUGUAUAGGAGACAGGGAUACUGGAGUGAUGGAGGUAGAUAUGUAUAGGGGGAAGGGGACAGGGAUACUGGAGUGAUGGAGGUAGAUAUGUAUAGGGGACAGGGAUACUGGAGUGAUGGAG